UGGGGAAUUUUGGACAAUGGGGGAAACCCUGAUCCAGCCAUCCCGCGUGUGCGAUGAAGGCCUUCGGGUUGUAAAGCACUUUUGGCAGGAAAGAAACGUCAUGGGUUAAUACCCCGUGAAACUGACGGUACCUGCAGAAUAAGCACCGGCUAACUACGUGCCAGCAGCCGCGGUAAUACGUAGGGUGCAAGCGUUAAUCGGAAUUACUGGGCGUAAAGCGUGCGCAGGCGGUUCGGAAAGAAAGAUGUGAAAUCCCAGAGCUCAACUUUGGAACUGCAUUUUUAACUACCGGGCUAGAGUGUGUCAGAGGGAGGUGGAAUUCCGCGUGUAGCAGUGAAAUGCGUAGGUAUGCGGAGGAACACCGAUGGCGAAGGCAGCCUCCUGGAAUAACACUGACGCUCAUGCACGAAAGCGUGGGGAGCAAACAAG
rnacentral:rRNA from 1 species